GCGUGGGUAGCUUAGUUGGUUAAAGCACUCGACUCAUAAUCGAUAGAUCGCUGGUUCAAGUCCAGCUCCACGCACCA
rnacentral:tRNA from 1 species